UGAAAUUGAAUUUAUUCGUUUGGAACUGAAGUCCAAUAAAAUUUGAUCCUCACUGAAAAUUAAACUCUCUAUAUAUCUUCACAUUCACUUCUCACAAUUCAGAUUCAGUUCUCAAAUUCAAUUUCAAGUUACUGAGACAGACAUCCGGGUAGUUGGAGGAUGAAGGAAGAGCAAUCGAGCGCAGAUCGAUAGAUAGCGUUCAUUGGCGCACAGGACUCCUCUUGGGCCAAUCAGCACCAAUGUUUUGGAGCACAGUACGUUACCCGCCAUGAAACAAAGAAGAAGUGCUUGCCUGACUUGCGUGACCACCACCACCAUGGAUUCGGCUGGGACAAAUACGAUUCCUGCUGCUCCAGUAGCUCUGAUCGACUUCUCUGCUAAAGCCAAAAAAAAAAAGCUUGACCGUUCUAUUGAUGGCAGGACAACUGAAAACCAGUUAUGGAUGCAAACAUGAAGCACAAGCCAGAGGAGUCUAUGAGAAGCUGAUGGGUCGGGAGCAUGCAGGCUUCUCCUGUAUGGACAGUGGUCUCUGGCUGAACCCCAAGUGGCCAUACAUGGGGUCCUCCC